rnacentral:antisense_RNA from 1 species
CUAUAUGGCGGACGGUGCGUGGGGGCCUUAGGGCCCGCCGGUCACUUCUCUGCGUCCCGGUUUGCAACCCGCACCGUCCGCCACCCGC